UCGAGAAUUUUUCUCAAUGGGCGAAAGCCUGAAGGAGCGACGCCGCGUGGGGGAUGAAGGGCUUCGGUCCGUAAACCCCUGUCAUUUGCGAACAAACCUUAUCAAUGAACAAUUGAUGAGCUGAUUGUAGCGAAAGAGGAAGGGACGGCUAACUCUGUGCCAGCAGCCGCGGUAAUACAGAGGUCCCAAGCGUUGUUCGGAUUCACUGGGCGUAAAGGGUGCGCAGGUGGGCUGGUAAGUUCGAUGUGAAAGCCCCGGGCCUAACCCGGGAAUGGCAUUGGAUACUACUGGUCUGGAGGGUCGGAGGGGGGACUGGAAUUCUUGGUGUAGCAGUGAAAUGCGUAGAUAUCAAGAGGAACACCAGUGGCGAAGGCGAGUCCCUGGACGAUACCUGACACUGAGGCACGAAAGCCAAGGGAGCAAACAGG
rnacentral:rRNA from 1 species